rfam:Virgibacillus massiliensis genome assembly, contig: 000002
UCCUUAUAAAGAGUCGGGGGAGGAAUCUGGUCUUUUGAUCCCGCAGCAACCUCAUGUUAGAGAUGAAGGUGCUAAGUCCAGCAGACAAAUUGUCUGAAAGAUGAGGG